GCGCAGCAGUCGAGAAACCUCCGCAAUACACGAAAGUGUGACGGGGCCAUCCCGAGUGCCGUCCGCUGAGGACGGCUUUUCCCCAGUGUACACAGCUGGGGGAAUAAGGAGAGGGCAAGCCUGGUGUCAGCCGCCGCGGUAAUACCAGCUCUCCGAGUGGUGGGGACGCUUAUUGGGCCUAAAGCAUCCGUAGCCGGCUGGGCAAGUCCUCCGUUAAAUCCAACGAUUCAAUCGUUGGGCUGCGGGGGAUACUGUCCAGCUUGGGGGCGGGAGAGGCCGACGGUAUUCCCGGGGUAGGGGUGAAAUCCUAUAAUCCCGGGAGGACCACCAGUGGCGAAGGCUGUCGGCUAGAACGCGCCCGACGGUGAGGGAUGAAAAGCUGGGGGAGCGAACCGGAUUAGAUA
rnacentral:rRNA from 1 species